rnacentral:rRNA from 1 species
ACUACGGGAGGCUGCAGUGGGGAAUAUUGCACAAUGGGCGCAAGCCUGAUGCAGCCAUGCCGCGUGUGUGAAGAAGGCCUUCGGGUUGUAAAGCACUUUCAGCGGGGAGGAAGGCGGUGAGGUUAAUAACCUCAUCGAUUGACGUUACCCGCAGAAGAAGCACCGGCUAACUCCGUGCCAGCAGCCGCGGUAAUACGGAGGGUGCAAGCGUUAAUCGGAAUUACUGGGCGUAAAGCGCACGCAGGCGGUCUGUCAAGUCGGAUGUGAAAUCCCCGGGCUCAACCUGGGAACGGCAUUCGAAACUGGCAGGCUAGAGUCUUGUAGAGGGGAGUAGAAUUCCAGGUGUAGCGGUGAAAUGCGUAGAGAUCUGGAGGAAUACCGGUGGCGAAGGCGGCCCCCUGGACAAAAACUGACGCUCAGGUGCGAAAGCGUGGGGAGCAAACAGGAUUAGAUACCCGGGUAGUC